rnacentral:rRNA from 1 species
AUACAUGCAGUCGAGCGGACAGAAGGGAGCUUGCUCCCGGAUGUUAGCGGCGGACGGGUGAGUAACACGUGGGUAACCUGCCUGUAAGACUGGGAUAACUCCGGGAAACCGGAGCUAAUACCGGAUAGUUCCUUGAACCGCAUGGUUCAAGGAUGAAAGACGGUUUCGGCUGUCACUUACAGAUGGACCCGCGGCGCAUUAGCUAGUUGGUGAGGUAACGGCUCACCAAGGCGACGAUGCGUAGCCGACCUGAGAGGGUGAUCGGCCACACUGGGACUGAGACACGGCCCAGACUCCUACGGGAGGCAGCAGUAGGGAAUCUUCCGCAAUGGACGAAAGUCUGACGGAGCAACGCCGCGUGAGUGAUGAAGGUUUUCGGAUCGUAAAGCUCUGUUGUUAGGGAAGAACAAGUGCAAGAGUAACUGCUUGCACCUUGACGGUACCUAACCAGAAAGCCACGGCUAACUACGUGCCAGCAGCCGCGGUAAUACGUAGGUGGCAAGCGUUGUCCGGAAUUAUUGGGCGUAAAGGGCUCGCAGGCGGUUUCUUAAGUCUGAUGUGAAAGCCCCCGGCUCAACCGGGGAGGGUCAUUGGAAACUGGGAAACUUGAGUGCAGAAGAGGAGAGU